CUUGGAGAAGCCACUUGGGAUUACUAUUCUACUACUUUUUGCUCAACCUGGACAUGGCUUCAUACUCCUGACCCUGGGUCGACUGAAUAUUGAUUACAAUUGGAAGAGUCUAGGAAUUCGGCCCAUAGCCAGAAUUCAGGAUAUCCAUGUAAAGAUAUAACAGACAGAUAUUAAUUCAUGGAAUUCGAUGAUAUACAUGCAAGAAUAAACGUGAACUGAUUAAUGAACAGUCUUUGUCAAACAUUCACUGGGAACUAACCCAGCCCAGUUACAUUUAGAUAUAUUCAAUUUAAUAGUUACCUAUAAGGCAUUAAGCAUGCCAUCAUAGUAUUUGACCCUUUUA